GGAAUAAAAGUCGUAACAAGGUCUCCGUUGGUGAACCAGCGGAGGGAUCAUUACCGAGUUUACAACUCCCAAACCCAAUGUGAACCAUACCAAACUGUUGCCUCGGCGGGGUCACGCCCCGGGCGCGUCGCAGCCCCGGAACCAGGCGCCCGCCGGAGGACCCAAAACCCUGAAUAUUAGUGUCGUCUGAGUACUAUAUAAUUGUUAAAACUUUCAACAACGGAUCUCUUGGUUCUG
rnacentral:misc_RNA from 1 species